rnacentral:rRNA from 1 species
CCACCCUUUAAUGUUUGAUGUUCUAACGUGGACCCGUAAUCCGGGUUGCGGACAGUGUCUGGUGGGUAGUUUGACUGGGGCGGUCUCCUCCUAAAGAGUAACGGAGGAGCACGAAGGUUGGCUAAUCCUGGUCGGACAUCAGGAGGUUAGUGCAAUGGCAUAAGCCAGCUUGACUGCGAGCGUGACGGCGCGAGCAGGUGCGAAAGCAGGUCAUAGUGAUCCGGUGGUUCUGAAUGGAAGGGCCAUCGCUCAACGGAUAAAAGGUACUCCGGGGAUAACAGGCUGAUACCGCCCAAGAGUUCAUAUCGACGGCGGUGUUUGGCACCUCGAUGUCGGCUCAUCACAUCCUGGGGCUGAAGUAGGUCCCAAGGGUAUGGCUGUUCGCCAUUUAAAGUGGUACGCGAGCUGGGUUUAGAACGUCGUGAGACAGUUCGGUCCCUAUCUGCCGUGGGCGCUGGAGAACUGAGGGGGGCUGCUCCUAGUACGAGAGGACCGGAGUGGACGCAUCACUGGUGUUCGGGUUGUCAUGCCAAUGGCACUGCCCGGUAGCUAAAUGCGGAAGAGAUAAGUGCUGAAAGCAUCUAAGCACGAAACUUGCCCCGAGAUGAGUUCUCCCUGAGACUUAGAGUCUCCUGAAGGAACGUUGAAGACGACGACGUU